UGAUGAGGUAAGUUGUCUAUGUUGUCUGAUGACAUUGAUGAGGUAAGUUGUCUAUGUUGUCUGAUGACAUUGAUGAGGUAAGUUGUCUAUGUUGUCUGAUGACAUUGAUGAGGUAAGUUGUAUAUGCUGUCUGAUGACAUUGAUGAGGUAAGUUGUCUAUGUUGUCUGAUGACAUUGAUGAGGUAAGUUGUAUAUGCUGUCUGAUGACAUUGAUGAGGUAAGUUGUAUAUGUUGUCUGAAG